UACGUAGGGCGCAAGCGUUGUCCGGAAUUAUUGGGCGUAAAGAGCUCGUAGGCGGCUUGUCACGUCGGGUGUGAAAGCCCGGGGCUUAACCCCGGGUCUGCAUUCGAUACGGGCUAGCUAGAGUGUGGUAGGGGAGAUCGGAAUUCCUGGUGUAGCGGUGAAAUGCGCAGAUAUCAGGAGGAACACCGAUGGCGAAGGCAGCUCGCUGGGACGGUACUGACGCUGAGACGCGAAAGCGUGGGGAGCAAACAGG
rnacentral:rRNA from 1 species